UACAGAGGGGGCAAGCGUUGUUCGGAAUUACUGGGCGUAAAGGGCGCGUAGGCGGCCUGCUAAGUCACACGUGAAAUCCCUCGGCUCAACCGGGGAACUGCGUGUGAUACUGGCGGGCUUGAAUUCGGGAGAGGGAUGUGGAAUUCCAGGUGUAGCGGUGAAAUGCGUAGAUAUCUGGAGGAACACCGGUGGCGAAGGCGGCAUCCUGGACCGAGAUUGACGCUGAGGCGCGAAAGCGUGGGGAGCGAACAGG
rnacentral:rRNA from 1 species